UAUGGUCAUAUCACACUGAAACACCAGUUCCCAUAUGAUCAUCAAAGUUAAGCAACAUUGAACUUGGUCAGUACCUAGAUGGUUGACUUCCUCGGAAUACCAGGUGU